CGUGGUUCAGUUGGUAGAGCAUGGCGCUUGCAAUGCCAGUGUUGUGGGUUCGAUUUCCACUG
rfam:Salmo salar isolate Sally breed double haploid chromosome ssa24, whole genome shotgun sequence.